AUGAAGGUACAGGGCAGAGAAAGAAGGAGAGGAUGGAAGAUGAUCAAGUACAGAUGAGAAACUAAGGUGCAGAGAGAUCAAGUGACUUGGCCAAGGUCACACAGGAAGUCUGUAGAAUGGGAACUGACCUCAGACCUCCCAAGUCCCAAC